GAGCUCAUUGAUCAUCAUAACAGAGUCUAUUGAAAGUCCUCAGCAGGCGGUGUGACGAUGUGACCAGCUCUGGCCAAGGAGCUGUAGGCAGAAGUGUCUUGCAGCAGCUCCUGUAAAUCUUAAAAGACAGCUGGUGCGUGUCUUUUUUCCUUUUUUUUUCCCUUCCCCCUUCCUGCUGCGCUGAAUAUGGAUAUGGUGAGUGAAUCUAGAGCAGCCAUUUGGAGGUAUGAAGAGAUCUUGGAAAUAGAGGCCAUGUGUGUUGAAACAAGACCGAACAACUCCAAGUUCCUGAAGACUUCAUUUCACCAACCCAGAACCUCCUUGAUCAUCACAGCCUUUGCAUGGAUGAUUGUCUGUCCUCUGUUGGGCCCCUUCUGAAGAGUUGGAGUUGGGUUGCUGCUGCUGUGCAGCUGAGGUACAAUCCCUCUCGUUCUUUGGGCAUCAGCCUCUGUUCUCCCUACAUGUGCUGUUUGCAAACUAUAGAAACCAUUUGGGCUGGUUUGAGCAUAAAAGGAAAUUACUGGGAGUUAUUAGGUGCUCGGUGAUUCAUUGGGAGGUCUGGCAAAAAAGAAGCUCAAGGCUAAGCUCAUAGGAACACAGCCCGGCAUCUCACACAGAAGUGGCUUGAUGAGGAUUCUACUGCCUCCACAGCUCCUGCCAUCAUCUUCAUCUGCACCAUAGAUGCUCAGAACCCAGUCUGUGUCUGCAUGUUGCUGACUUCCAAAUGAGAGCUUCAUGAGAGUGUAUUUGGUUGGUAGAACAUAGGUCCCAGACCUUCUCCCUGGGAGCUGGAAGAGAUGCUGGGAAAUUCUGCCCUGGAAAAAUAAAACUCACAAUGUGGGAAACAAAGAAAAUGUACAGCAGGGGUUUAACAGAAUGACAGCUACAGUUUAGACUCCUGUGGUACAGUUGGCUUUCCCAGGCUCCCGGCGUCCAUGCUGUCUCGGCGCUAUCUCGCAGCCUGACGCCACGCGCCAUCUGCUGGCCUUGAGCUGCAUAGCUCUAGAGUAACUUCAGAGGCCACGGGGGAACAAAGAGCACUCGCCUACUUGACUGAGCUCCGACAGGCCGUCCCUCUGCUUCAGGUGUAGGCGUGAACAAGUCCAGACCACUACCUUAACAGCUUUAUACAAUUAUUCCCAAAUCUUCUAAACUGACAGUGAGGGAGAGUAAUUUGAAAGGACUGCUCAACUCAACGUCAUUUGAAGAUUUGCACCACAGCUGCAUUUUUCCAAUUUCCUGGCAUCUAUUCUGCUCUCCUGGACUUUUCAAAAACAAUUUCUUUCAGAUCCCUGGAGGCCUCUCCCAGGGCCUGUGGUGUGGAGAGUUGGACUUGACCCUACUGUAAGAGACCCAACUUCCAAAGACUGCAUCAGAUGAAAGGCUCUCCAUAUAGACUACAGACUUGUCAGCUGGUUAAGGAGGCAAACAGAACAGUCUGCUACAAACUCCAGUCCAUGUAUCUGUGCUGAAAAUAAAAGGAGUCUUCAGGAAUCAAAGAAGAAAAUAUUUUUAUAAAGAAAUUUUAUUGCAUAAUUCUUGUAUACAAUAAACAUAGGAAAAGGGUUUUUAAUGAAAAUUCAUGUCAUUUUUCA
rnacentral:lncRNA from 1 species